ACCCUGCUAGCUCAAUGGUCGAGCAUGUGACUUCUAAUCACAAGGUUGUGGGUUCGAGUCCCACGUAGGGUU